AUUAUGAUUAACAUUAUUUGUAUCUGUUGUAUAUGUUGAAUCUAUAAUAUUUAAUUUAGACAUAAUAAAAUUAUCAAAAUUGUUAUUUACAAAAUUAUAAUCAUUUUUUAACGUGUUUUCUUUUAUACACAUUAGUUGAGCAUUUAAAAAUAUAUCUAAUGUAUCUAACUUGUUUUUAUAUUUUAUAAAUAUCUCACUUAUUUCUUUAUUAUAUUUUUUAAAAGUUGUGUUAAAAGGUAUCGGUGGUGGCAAAAUAAUAUUUUUAAUGUUUUCAUUGUCCAUGUUAAGGUAAUUAUUAUUAGACAUUUUGUCUUGACACAUAGCUUGAAAUCCAUUUUGGUAACCUUCUUGAUAUCCUUUCUCAUAUCCAACUUUAUAUUCAUUUUCAUAUUCAUUUGGGUACUUCUGUACAAAUUGAUUAUUUCGUUUUAUUAAUUCAUUAUCAGAGCUACUACAUGAAAAUUUUUCAUUUUGGAAAUCAUAAUUAAUUUUAUUAAUAUCAAUAUAUUUUCUUUUCCUUUUAUUCACUUUUUUAUUUUCAGAAAAAUUGACAUGGUUGUUAAAAACGCCAUUACUUUCUGACAUUUUUUUUUUAAUAGAGUCGUUUAUUAUGUUUUCAUUUUUUAUAACGAAAUUGUUAUUAUUUAUGUUAAUAAGACUUACACUAUCGACAUCAUCAUCAUUAUAGUUUUCCUCACUUGUUGAAACAUUAUCUCCUAUUUGUUUUUGAAUAAAAAUAUCCAAUCCUUUACUUUUUUCUGUUAAAUAAUCAUUUUCUAUAUUCUCUUCAAGUCCAUAUUCUAAAAUAUGUUUUAUACAAAUUGGUAUGAUUACAUCAUCAUUUAGCACAUUUUGUGAAGUUAUUUCGUUUAUAUUUUCUUCUUUUACUUCUGUUGCUUCGCUUAUAUUUUUUUCUUUUACUUCUGUUGCUUCGUUUAUAUUUUCUUCUUUUAAUUCGUUAUAUAUUUUACUAGUUUCAUCCAUAUUCACUUUAUUUAAAUCAAAUUUUAUUAUUUUAUUUUGUUCCGGAAAAAGAGCUAUAAAAGAAGGAUGUUUUUUUUUUUAUUUUUGACUAAUGUUGUUUUCUAGCAUGUUAU
rnacentral:lncRNA from 1 species